AUGAAACCAUAAACCCUCUGCUUUUAUGAUUUUUAAGUCUCGAUGUCGGUAGUUGGGAAGUCCAAUUAUGAAAGGGGUGUCAAAGGUUCAACCUCAAAGUAGCUUGUGUGCUGCUUCCACUCUACUUUCAUAGUGCUCGAGUUCAAACGUUUAAAAGCUCAUUCUUAACCGGGCCAUUGGGCCAGUUUCGGUUCCAGUAAAAGGGAGAAAUUGAAUCGUAACCACAACCUCCCCCAACGUUUUGGUUUGAUCUUGUCUAUUUUUUUCCCAUUUUUUUUUUUUUU
rnacentral:misc_RNA from 1 species